rnacentral:rRNA from 1 species
CCUACGGGAGGCAGCAGUGAGGAAUAUUGGUCAAUGGACGAGAGUCUGAACCAGCCAUGCAGCGUGAAGGAUGACUGCCCUAUGGUUGUUAACUUGUUUUAUAUGGAAGUAAAAUGUUGCACGGGUGGUCUUUUGUAUGUACCAUAUGAAUAAGGAUCGGCUAACUCCGUGCCAGCAGCCGCGGUAAUACGGAGGAUGCGAGCGUUAUCCGGGUUUAUUGGGUUUAAAGGGAGCGUAGGUGGGUUGAUAAGUUAGUGGUGAAAGUUUGCGGCUCAACCGUAAAAUUUCAGUUGAAACUGGCAGGCUUGAGUAUAGUAGCGGUAGGCGGAAUGCGUGGUGUAGCGGUGAAAUGCUUAGAGAUCACGAAGAACUCCGAUUGCGAAGUCAGCUCACUGGACUGCAACUGACACUGAGGCUCGAAAGUGUGGGUAGCAAACAGGAUUAGAUACCCGAGUAGUC